GACGAAUGCUGGCGGCGUGCCUAAUACAUGCAAGUUGAGCGAUGAAGAUUGGUGCUUGCACCAAUUUGAAGAGCAGCGAACGGGUGAGUAACGCGUGGGGAAUCUGCCUUUGAGCGGGGGACAACAUUUGGAAACGAAUGCUAAUACCGCAUAACAACUUUAAACAUAAGUUUUAAGUUUGAAAGAUGCAAUUGCAUCACUCAAAGAUGAUCCCGCGUUGUAUUAGCUAGUUGGUGAGGUAAAGGCUCACCAAGGCGAUGAUACAUAGCCGACCUGAGAGGGUGAUGGGCCACAUUGGGACUGGGACACGGCCCAAACGCCGACGGGAGGCAGGAGUAGGGAAUCUUCGGCAAUGGACGAAAGUCUGACCGAGCAACGCCGCGUGAGUGAAGAAGGUUUUCGGAUCGUAAAACUCUGUUGGUAGAGAAGAACGUUGGUGAGAGUGGAAAGCUCAUCAAGUGACGGUAACUACCCAGAAAGGGACGGCUAACUACGUGCCAGCAGCCGCCGUAA
rnacentral:rRNA from 1 species